AUUUUUCUGCCGCAGACGAUAACAUGGAAGGCAAAAAGUAGUUAUUAUUAAUGCCGUCUAUUGUAAUACAGGAAGCCAACGCCGCAGAUUCGAAAGAAUCCGACUCGGAGAAAUGGACAACGGAGAGUCUUCAGCGCCUGUUAGCGGAUGCCAUAACAUACCAACUUCCAUUAAACGACCUCGAAUUGAUCUUGAAAGGUGGGGCAGAAGUUAAUGGGAAAGUGUCGAAAGGUCUCCGGCCAUUGCAUUAUGCAGCAUUUGUCAAUUCAAAGGAAUUUGUCAGUUUUCUUAUACAAAAUGGCGCCGAUGUUAACUUGACAGACGAUAUCGGUUACACACCUCUACAUAUUUGCGCAAGAAAAGGCUACCAUGACGUCAUAAAAACGUUGAUAGAAAAUGGAGCCACAAUUAAUUUCUGCUCUGAUGAUGACCAGAACGUUCAAGAAUCUACCCGAGCGUUGGGGUACCUGACUCUUGAGCCACUGAACAUUGCAAUAGACCACAAUCACAUUGAAUGUGUUCAACUUCUUCUGGAAAACGGGGCUCGUUCGGGCAAUAAAUAUUUCAUGGGAUAUGAGAUUAACUUGGUUCCAUUAGAUCAUCUCCAAUGUUUGAAACUUUUGAUAGACCAUGGCGCGGACCCAAAUACGUGUAAUAGAUGUGGUAUCACUCCUCUCAUGAAAGCUUGCAGGGAACAAAAUGUAGAGGCGCUGAAAUUUCUUAUAAAACAUGGAGCCGACUUGGACGUAGAAUGUCCACCUCGCUUUGAACAAAAAAGAGCUAUUCACUUUGCAGUUCAAGUAGGUAAUUUAGAAAUAACAGAAAUCUUACUUCAAAAUGGAGCGUCGCGAUUUAGGUCAGAGAAUUACAGAUACAGUCCUUUACAUGAGGCAAUUUUGAAAGAUCACGUGGAUAUAUGCAAAUUGAUGCUAGAUUACGGAAGUGACGUCAACGAAAGAACAGAAAGCUACGCCACGCCGGUCAUGUUAGUAUGCGGUACAGAAGGUCUGAAAAAUAGGAGACAAUUGCUAGAGGUACUUCUUAAAAAUGGUGCCGAUGUAAAUGCCCUAUCGGACCGUGUCAGCUACACACACCCGUACUUACCGCCUCUCACAGAAUAUCUCAAACUCAACGAGGAAGAGGCGGACUUUGAAAUUGUUUCCCUUCUUCUUGGAUAUGGUGCAAAGGUUAGUUUUAGAGGAACGAGGGGCAUGAUGCAUGUGAGAGACCCACAUGGAAUAUUGUCCUUAGUGAAGAAGUUUUCAACGAAAGAUGAUAUAUUUCGUUUGAUGGUAGACGCGGCGUUUUAUUUCGAUGUGGACGCCAUCAAAAACCAUGAUUUGUUAGCACCAGAAGUCAAAGAACACCUAGUAACAUUUGGUAAUAGACCACGAGAUCUCAAGCAUCUCAUCAGGGUGUCAAUUCAGACAUUUCUUGGUACGUGUCUUCCCAGCAAGGUUCAGAGGUUACCUCUGCCUCCACUUCUAAAAUCAUAUCUUUUGUUUCAUUUGUAAAGACAAAAAAAUCAUCGAAUUAUUUUUAUUUGGAUUCAUUACAUGUAAACAACAUCGUUUGUUGAGAAACGUUAAAACAAAACCGCUAAGGAGCUACAGUAACUUCCGGUAUCCGUGAUGCAGCAUCUCUCGUUUGCAGCGCAUGCGCUGUCCCACCAACAUUUGUAAGUGUCUGGAUCCGUGUUUUGUUGUGAAUCGCACUCAGUGGGCCGGCUUCCAGUUACUUGCGGACCAUCUUUGGAAGAGACAAGAAAUAUAAUUGGUUGAUAAUAGUAUCUACAUUUAUAUUAUUGUUUAAAUUUACUGAAAUCUUAAUUGCGUAAUAGUUUGUGAAAUUAAAAUAAAGGUAGCACACUGUAGACGUGAAAUUAAAUCAAUUAAAAUUU
rnacentral:misc_RNA from 1 species